UGCCCCUUAGCUCAGUUGGCAGAGCAAGUGACUGUUAAUCACUGGGUCCGCGGUUCGAGCCCGCGAGGGGCAGCCA
rnacentral:tRNA from 1 species